CAAGGACACAUCACCAACAACACAGUUGAAGAAAUGACAAUAAUAAUCAAGGAUAUAGGAAAAGAUGCUUUCAUCUAGAUUUGUAUUACAGCCUCUCCUCCAACAUGAUAAAAAGACAACUGAAAUUCAGACAGAAAACAUCUGCCCUGUCUGCAGAUGUAAGGCUUAAGAACAAAAAAGAAGAUGCACAGCUACAGAUUAAACUGGACCAUCUUAACUUCAGGUAUCGAGUUGCUUUUACAACUCUCCAUUAUGAGACUACAGCUGUAAUGAAAGAACAUUAUAAUUUACUCUGUGUCAAGGGCAGUACCCACCGGGCAACUGCUGACAACACCAUGAAAGAACUACAGCUGCACAAGGAAAACAAGGAGACAAACAAUCACACACAGAUCAGCAUGCUUUCACAAAAGCCAUAUAUAUAUCGGCACCCUAGGACAGUUUCCUCUAAAUCUGGUUAUUCCAGAAAUGUCAUGUCUUCUCUGAGUUCAUCUCGUGCUUGGUCUGGGCAUAGCUUUAAAACAGAUUCCAAAUUAAACGUAACAAAUGACAGGCUUUCAGUGAGUAGAAAUAGCAGGAAGGAGUUACAUGAAACCAUUCAAUCUCAAUUGACUUGCUCCCGUUUGAGGCCAAAAUCAACCCCACUUUUACCAGGAAGCAGUGAAGUCAAUCCUGUGGAGGCAAGCAUCCAAGUUUUCACAUGCAGGCAGCUAAGACACAUCGCAACAAUCGACAGUAUUUGUAAAAAGGAACUGGCCAGACAAAAAGAGAAUGAAAAACAAGAAAAAGAAAGGAAGAAGCUGCAUAUGGAAGAGAAACUCAAUCAGAAAAUUAAAGAAUUCUUGAAUACAUUCAAACAAGAGUCUUUAACCAAUAUGGCAGUGUGAGACAGCCAUUAAUAAUCAUUUUAGUUAGUAAUGAUUUGCAUUGCAGUAUGAUAAACAAUGCAAAUAUAAGUUCACUUUAACUUUCCAUUCUAUAACAUUUUUUGUUGCUUUCUUUUUACUUAUCCACAAUUAUUUAUGUUACUCUUCUGCAAGCAAAACAAUUUGCUAAAAUAACAUAUAAUCCCAUCCCUUCAACAUAUAGGUUAUAUACUGUUAAAUGUUAUAAAUAGUACAAUUGUAUGUUGCAUGUACUUGGUUUUAUUUAACCACAUUAUAAAUGUACAUCAUGAAAUUGCUACACCAUGUGCUACAUAUUGCACUUUUUAAGCCCCCUCCAACUGAAACUGUAAUUUAUACACAUAUUAUUUACACACGCAUUCUUAAUAACAUCCUAUAGCAAUAAAAAAUUGCUUUUUCAACAUGGAAGUACAUACUAGCUAAUUUCCAGUUAAAAAAUAAACAGCAGAUGAUUUUCUGGGUUUUUUCUUCUAAGAAUUGUGGUCUCAUUUUCCCUUUUCUCUUAAAUAAUCAGCUAAAAGAAGAAAAAUAAAACAUAUUAAAAGUAAGAAACAUUUU